AUGAUGAGCGGCGGCAGGAUGAACGCGGCGGCGAGCGACGACUUCCCGUUCGCGGCAAUGCAGCAGCCGCCCUACGUCGGCUUAGAGCACGCCGGCGGCGGAGGAGGAGGCCAGCGCAACCAGGGCGCGAUGAUGUACGACAACUUCGACUUCGCGGCGGCCGCCGCCGAAUUCGGUCAGUUCCAGGACGCGCCGCACCACCAGAUGCUGGCGCUGCCACUGAACGGCAACGGCGCCGGCGGGCUCGUCCCCAUGGCGCCGCCGCCCAUGCCCGGGAUGCAGCUGCAGAUGCCGCCCAUGCCCCACGGGAUGCACAGCCACGGCGACGUGUACUCGGCGAUGGGGAUGGUGAAGCGCGAGGGCGGCGCCGGGGACGCGGGGAGGAUCGGGCUGAACCUCGGGCGCCGGACCUAUUUCUCCCCCGGCGACAUGAUGGCCGUGGACCGGAUGCUGAUGCGGUCCCGUCUCGGCGGCGUGUUCGGGCUGGGAUUCGGGCGCGCCCACCACCAGGCGCCUCGGUGCCAGGUGCAGGACUGCAAGGCCGACCUCUCCGGCGCCAAGCACUACCACCGGCGCCACAAGGUGUGCGAGUACCACGCCAAGGCGGCGCUUGUCUCCGCCGCCGGCAAGCAGCAGCGCUUCUGCCAGCAAUGCAGCAGGUUCCACGUGCUCACGGAGUUCGACGAGGCCAAGAGGAGCUGCCGGAGGCGGCUCGCAGAGCACAACCGUCGCCGGAGGAAGCCGGCGGCCAGCAGCACCAUGGCGGCGUCCAAGGACUCGGCGUCGCCUUCCGACAACAACACACUGAGCACGACGAAGUCGACCAUCUCCUCCAACACGAGCGCGAUCAGCUGCCUCCAGCAGGGCCAGGCCAGGGAGGUAGCGGCGACGAGGCCGACGGCGCUCACCCUCGGUGCGACGCCGGAGAAGGACGACCACCAGCAGCAGAUCAGGAACGCCAUGCAGCUCCACCACCAUCAGGAGCAGCAGCACUUCAUCAACUCCCUCUUGCAGAACAACAUCCGUAACAGCAACAUCCUGUCGUGUUCCUCGGUUAGCUCCAGCACGGUGCCAUUGGCGGUGGCGGCCAACGGCGAGGUCUCCGACCAGAACAACGACAACAAGAACAAUGUCAGCAACAACGUCAACAGCGGCAUGCAUAUGUUUGAGGUGGACUUCAUGUAG
rnacentral:rRNA from 1 species